GCCUGUGUGGUGUAGUGGCUUGAGCAUUGGACUAUGAAUCUGGAGACCAGGGUUCAAAUCCAGUUCAGCCA